rnacentral:sRNA from 1 species
GCACAUGGGUUAGUCGAUCCUA